CAAGAAGCUAAUCAGAUAUUUUUCUCUUUUCACUAGUCGGCUUCUUCUACAAGCUACCUAGACUCUUCUUUCUUCUCCUACACGCUGGUUCCAAGGGACAAGAGAAACAAAUCCUCUCCUUCUCCUUUACCCCAUCGAUGGCUUCCAAGGCAAGACAAGUGAAUUCCCUUUCUCUUCUCCAUUCACCCGUCGGUUCUAAGGCACAAAAGAGAGAAAAUUCCCUCAAGUCCCCUCCCUUCACACGAGAGACUCUCGGUUUCCCUAGCCGUGCGAUACCUCUCUUCUCCUCAAGCCGAUCUCUCUCAUUUCGUGAGCUUAAGAUUUCCACUGUAAGCCUUCAAGAAAAAUCGACCUGCUUUGGGUCUUUCGGAUUUCUCUUCCUCUUCUCAUCUGCUGUGUUUCAGUGGCUCGAAAAGGGAAUCAAAGCAGUAUGAACGAUGAGGCUGGGGAGCUAGGCACUGCUGAGGAGGGAGGGGCUGAUGCUUAGAAUUCCCUGUUGGUUCAAUUUUAAUGAUAAUGGUUAUGACUUUAUGUUUUUAUGAUGGGUCCCAUGUUGGGAUGUUUUGUUGGUUUGACUUUAAUACAAUAUGUCCUUGGGUAUGAUGUAAGUACUAUAGUGGGAUGAUGGUAAUGGUGUAACUUCUAUAGUGGGGUAACGGUAACCCCACAUAAGAAGGUUAAAUGCCUUUUUGUAUGUGUUUUGGGGACAGAAUCCUCUUUUUAUUGGAACUAGCGAUGUUUUAAAUGAAUGAGUGAUGGACUCUGAGA